AACUCUGUUGUUUGUGAACAGAUGAGGCUGUAACAGUAGGGGGCUGAUUCAGGGAUUAUUAGAGCCUGGGGAGAGUCUGUGUGUGGGGUGCUUUACAACAGAGGGGAACAGUGCACAGCAAAGGUAAACAAGGCAUUUAAUCAAUCAGCGGAUGGUUGAAAGCAGGGAACAGUCGAGAAAAAGCAGGAUGUGAACGGAGGCAGCCAGGAGGUUAUAAGUAGGGGAGCUAACUGCCAGGAAGCACACCUCAGCUGUUGCACUUAGUCAGACCUCACCUCCUAUUUCUCCUCAUCGCCCGUUGCCUCUGCCUCGUUUGCCGCUCUGGGAGCCAUGCAUCCCCAGCGUCCUCUUCCCCAGGCCAUGCCUACCUCCUCCUCUCUGGGUAAGCACCUGAGGGACUUGGCCAUGGGUCUAGGAAGAGGCAAGAACUUCAUGGGAGGAAACGUUGCCUACGGUUUCAUCCAGUCGGCUAAGGAGUGCCUCUACUUCCUCCUCUGCUGCUGGUGCAUCAAAGAGAUCCUGGACUGACCGACUGUGAGAGAGAGUGGAUCGAGUGGUCAAACAUUGAUUUUUCCUUUUUCUCCGUUGGCACCUAUAGUGUAAUUUCAACCAGCUUUUAUUUCAUUGUGGAUGGAGUGUUUGAUCAGCGGUGCUGGCAAAGCAUUGGCAAUGUCUGUAGGAUACUCUACUUGGGUUCCAGGAAAACAGACUUGCACAUUUCCAGAAGCUACAAAUGUUCACUUUGCGAUUGGGUCAGAGUUCAUCCCUGCUGAUCUGAGACCUUGAGGAAUGGACAAAGCCCUGAUGUUCACUGUACAAACUGGUGUGCACUGAAUAAAGGAACUAAUGACUAGAAAAAAGAU